rnacentral:rRNA from 1 species
GACGAACGCUGGCGGCGUGCCUAAUACAUGCAAGUCGAGCGGACAGAAGGGAGCUUGCUCCCGGAAGUUAGCGGCGGACGGGUGAGUAACACGUGGGCAACCUACCCUGUAGAUCGGGAUAACAUCGAGAAAUCGGUGCUAAUACCGGAUAAUCAUUUGAAGUGCAUGCUUCGAAUGUAAAAGAUGGCUCCGGCUAUCACUACGGGAUGGGCCCGCGGGGCAUUAGCUAGUUGGUAAGGGAAUGGCUUACCAAGGCAACGAUGCGUAGCUGACCUGAGAGGGUGAUCGGCCACACUGGGACUGAGACACGGCCCAGACUCCUACGGGAGGCAGCAGUAGGGAAUCUUCCGCAAUGGACGAAAGUCUGACGGAGCAACGCCGCGUGAGUGAUGAAGGUUUUCGGAUCGUAAAGCUCUGUUGUUAGGGAAGAACAAGUGCCGUUUGAAUAAGGCGGCACCUUGACGGUACCUAACCAGAAAGCCACGGCUAACUACGUGCCAGCCGCCGCAGUAAUAC